AUUGAACGCUGGCGGCAGGCCUAACACAUGCAAGUCGAACGAGUGGCGGACGGGUGAGUAAUGUCUGGGCACCUGCCUGCUGGAGGGGGCUAACUACUGGAAACGUUAGCUACUACCGCAUACCAUCGGAUGUGCCCUGAGGGGAUUAGCUAGUAGGUGGGGUAAAGGCUCACCUAGGCGACGCUCCCUAGCUGGUCUGAGAGGAUGACCAGCCACACUGGGACUGAGACACGGUCCAGACUCCUACGGGAGGCAGCAGUGGGGAAUAUUGCACAAUGGGCGAAAGCCUGAUGGAGACAGGCCGCGUGAAUGAAGAAGGCUUUCGGGUUGUAAAGUACUUUCAGCGGGGAGGCGGUACCCGCAGAAGAAGCACCGGCUAACUCCGUGCCAGCAGCCGCGGUAAUAC
rnacentral:rRNA from 1 species